GCUGGCAAACUGCUAAUAUGUUGAUAUUGCUAAUUAUAGGGCACUUGUCUUUGGGGCAGGGCAGGACAGCCCUGAAAUGCUGAGGGAGGAACAGGCUCUUCUGUUUCAAAGGCCUGGAGUCCAUCGGGAGGGGGACAGAAAUAAAAGUUUCCCUUUUGUUCUGAAAAGGAGGGUUUUUUUAAAAUUUAGCAUUGCAUAAGCCACUGCAAAAUGCUCACGGACAUCCGCAACUGAUCAGAGUGGGAAAAUAACCAGUGGCAAAUUUUUUAUCCUAAAAACAAUGUGCUGGUUGAAACAAAAUCCAUAAUAGUCAAGCAAGCAGCUGAAUUUGAUUAACGUGCAGGCUGCAGCUGCCUUGUAUUUUGAUCUGCAUGAGAGAUUUCACCUGUUUAGAGCUUUUGAAAAAGUAAUUGGUAGGUUCAGCAGUGUGGUGGCCAGAAUGAUUUUCCCUCCCACAGAAGGAACUGCAGGCUGCUGGAGCAGUGCUGCAAGCCCGAGAAGUUAAAACAAAGCCAUGAGAAUUCUCUCUAAAGAAUAAAUAUUUGGUUCUUUUUAAAAAUGUCUGGUAGCUUUUGAGCUUUCUGGGCAUGCUUCACAUUCUCAAGCUGUUUCCUACAGCCCUCAGGGCUUUAAAAACUUUAAAAAAACAAAGAAGCAGAAAGCUGAGAUUCAGUUUUCUUAAAGCCCCACCCUGAAAUCUCAGCUUUCAUGUACUUAAAGUAAGGGGCAAAGCUGGAUGAUUCUGAUGAAGUGAAUGGACUGACUCAAGCCCUACAGCUACAUGAGGACAAAACACAGUGCAGAGACAGUUCUGCUUGACUCAACAUCUUGGAAGAAGGAAUCUGCUCAGGCUGAGUUUCCAAGAUCAGGGACAACAUGUGAUCUCUCAAAACCGCUGUUUUGUCAGGUCAUGUGGAUGGUCCUCCAGCCUGCUGAAGGCUCUGGAGAAGGUGGCCUUGUAUAGGUACCAGAAAUGGACUAGGAGCCAUGGAAGAUGCAAAGUACAGUAGUGAUGAGCCCAUGCUACACCAGCUGUCCUUCUGCUUUUGUCCAGCUGAUGGUUCCUGAGAGAGACUUUCUGUUACUGAUGCAAUCUGAAUGUGCUACAUGCCACCGGAGAACUCCUGGCCUGUGUAGUAAGUACUGGAAGUGCAUUUGCCAAUCUGCUAAAUGGGGAAAACUAGCUAUGAGCAACAGGUCCCAAGAACCUAAUACAAGGCAGGCAUUAACUUCACUCAGCUCUCUUUUGCAUGAGUAACCUUUGCAAAACCACUGAUGAUGACAAGCCAAGACCAAUGCAGAAGGAGCUGAGUGUACCCAGGGUUUGAUGCCCAUGGAGCUUACAC